GAGUGGCGGACGGGUGAGUAACACGUAGGUAACCUGCCCCGGAGCGGGGGAUAACAUUUGGAAACAGAUGCUAAUACCGCAUAACAACGAAAGCCACAUGGCUUUUGUUUGAAAGAUGGCUUUGGCUAUCACUCUGGGAUGGACCUGCGGUGCAUUAGCUAGUUGGUAAGGUAACGGCUUACCAAGGCGAUGAUGCAUAGCCGAGUUGAGAGACUGAUCGGCCACAAUGGAACUGAGACACGGUCCAUACUCCUACGGGAGGCAGCAGUAGGGAAUCUUCCACAAUGGGCGCAAGCCUGAUGGAGCAACACCGCGUGAGUGAAGAAGGGUUUCGGCUCGUAAAGCUCUGUUGUUGGAGAAGAACGUGCGUGAGAGUAACUGUUCACGCAGUGACGGUAUCCAACCAGAAAGUCACGGCUAACUACGUGCCAGCAGCCGCGGUAAUACGUAGGUGGCAAGCGUUAUCCGGAUUUAUUGGGCGUAAAGCGAGCGCAGGCGGUUGCUUAGGUCUGAUGUGAAAGCCUUCGGCUUAACCGAAGAAGUGCAUCGGAAACCGGGCGACUUGAGUGCAGAAGAGGACAGUGGAACUCCAUGUGUAGCGGUGGAAUGCGUAGAUAUAUGGAAGAACACCAGUGGCGAAGGCGGCUGUCUGGUCUGCAACUGACGCUGAGGCUCGAAAGCAUGGGUAGCG
rnacentral:rRNA from 1 species